UCAGAGUAAAGUCACUGUGUAAGUGGCGGGAUUAGUGGCGCAGGUUAGUGUGGGGAGUAGAGUAGUGAGGACUAGAGAAACAGACGCUAUCGACCUGAGAGUUAAAGGAGGAGGCAUCGCGGUGUGGGGAGCAUUUAAGUUUUAUCGUGGAGGUCGACAACUCGUGGUCCUGAUAUAAACUUGUGUGUGACUUGCAAGAGGAGACGGACGUUGGAGAGAGAGAGAGAGACGGGUUUCCAACCGAUGGCCCGGCUGUGCUGUGUUUUUCUUCCUUGUGACUUCGCCACCGUGCCAUUGCCCGCUCGUGUGUUUGAUUUGUGACCGCUAACGCCAUUGCCAUUAUCAUCGUGAGACUCAUCCCCCUUCUCCUAUCUCUACUAACAACACCCUGGAUUCGCGGCUUCGCUGAGCAGUCUUUAUGCGGUUCUGCAGGGAGAAGCCUCUCUCCGCUGGCACACUGGAGACGGGGAUAACACAGGCUACCUUUGCCAGUUUGACCCACUCUGGGAAGAUUUCCGCGUAAUCUCUUAUGAGCAUCUCGCAGGCCGAUGAAAAAUACAAGCCCCCGUAACUGCGGAGGGCUGUCAUCAUUGGGAUGGCAUCUCGCUUCGCGCUUGCGGCAUCGAUGAAUGUGGUGGCUGUUGCCGAAUCGUCCUCGCUUGCAAUGUCUUGGCCAAAAUGACCCAGCAUGGUUUGGAUUGCUGGUUCUGCAUUCUCCCGAAGUGCUGAGGGAACGGAGGGACAAUCGGUCUGUGUUUUUUUAUUUUUAGCCAAUAAACUAAUUAUUCCUUGGUUAUUCCUCUGUGUCUCCAACGUUCAUGUAACACUGUACAAAUCAGUUUUGUUAGGCCUACAUUAGCCUACUGUCUCGCUUUUCCUUAUUGUCUGUCAGCAGCCUAUUAUGGCAACACGGACGUUUUUUACCACAAUUUUGACGGUUACAGCAUGGCCUAAAGCAGUGGUUCCCAACCUUUUUUCCUUGAGGACCCCCCUGCCAGGGUCCAAGACAAGCAAGGCCCCCCCAACCCUAACUCCGACCCACAUACACACAAAUAAAGAAUAGAGUG